rnacentral:rRNA from 1 species
GACGGAAGGUGCAAGCGUUGCUCGGAAUCACUGGGCGUAAAGGGUGCGUAGGCGGCCCGAUAAGUCCGCCGUGAAAGUCCAGGGCUCAACCCUGGAAUGCCGGUGGAAACUGUCGGGCUGGAGUCCGGAAGAGGCGAGUGGAAUUCCUGGUGUAGCGGUGAAAUGCGCAGAUAUCAGGAGGAACACCAAUGGCGAAGGCAGCUCGCUGGGACGGUACUGACGCUGAGACGCGAAAGCUAGGGGAGCGAAUGGG